UAACCGCACUGUCAAAUAAGGGACGAUAUGCCGAGAGAACUGAAUGUCUUCAAAUUCCACGUAUCGUCAACUAGAAGAACUAGAAGAGAUGAACGUAUGAGCAUGUAGCCAAGGUCUUCAAUAAAUAACAUGCUUCUCAAACACCUCAUCCCCACUGCCACGAAGGAAGCAACAGAUGUCAUUAAGAACUUUACAACAAUAUUUGGGCUCCCUUUGGUAUGCACACAGAUGCAAUCUCCUACAGUACACAUCAAAUGAAGAGUCGUAAAGAUAUGGAAAUUGAUAUUGGAGGAAGAGGAGGAUAGGGUGAGUGAAGAUAGGGCAGGCGCUCCUGAGCGUCAAGAGGGGAUUAAUGAUGGGGUGAGCACUCCCGGUAACCAGGAGGUGGGUGAAGAUGGGGAAGGAAUUCCUGGUAACCGCCUUAUAAAAAGACGAAGGACCUCCAGCAGUUAAGUAGAAGAGUUAAAGGAGAAUUUAAAGGGGCUCAUAGUUGAAGUUGUGAGUAAGUUGAGGCAUGAUCUUAGAAACAUGGUAAGGCAUGAACUCAAAAAGGUGAGAGAUGAGCUCAAUGAAUUUAGGGAUGAAGUGCUCAAUAUGGUGUAAAAUAUGGCAAUGAAUAAGGUAUUAAAUUUUAAUUUUCUUUAUUAUAUAUGAUAAUAACUUAUCUAUAGGAAGACAAUAAAUCUAACAUUUAAUCUAUCAGAAAAGGAUAGAGCUGAUUAUUACAAAGGAGGUGGAGGCGGGCGCAGAGGCAACAUAUAGGGAGGAGGUUAUGGGAGUCAACAUUAGAAAAAAAUAGGCAUCAUCGGUUGUUUUAUCUUCUGAUGUUGUUCCUGAGGCAACUAAGGAGAGGGCGAAGAGAACAACUUAAGACUAUUUUAUUAGUCUUCCUUGGUACUAAAAUCUAAUAGUCCUUGGGAUUAAAAUUUGACUAUUUACAUUUACUAAAAUAUUAAAUUUUCUUCUAAGUACGGUGUGUUUUAGAUUUUCUAUGUCUUUGAAUUAAUGUAGGCAAGUUUUUUUUAGUCUAUAAAAGGAGAAAGGCCAUGAAAAUA